rnacentral:rRNA from 1 species
UACGUAGGGGGCAAGCGUUGUCCGGAAUCACUGGGCGUAAAGCGCGCGCAGGCGGCUAUCUACGUCCGGGGUGAAAGCCCAGAGCUCAACUCUGGGAUUGCCUUGGAUACCGGGAUGGCUUGAGGAUCGGAGAGGCAAGGGGAAUUCCACGUGUAGCGGUGAAAUGCGUAGAGAUGUGGAGGAACACCUGUGGCGAAGGCGGUCUCUGGGCCGGUACUGACGCUGGAGGUGACGAAAGCGUGGGGAGCAAACCGG